CUUGAAAGCCAAAACAAAAAUAUCUUAGAAGAAGUAACGAAGCGUAAAUAAAUAAUAGUUACACUAAAGUAGUAGAAUAAUUUUGUGUCAUCAAUUUGGGAUUAUGUUUCAGAUCUGCACACUUUUGUCCCUUUCCGAUCCCGUGCCCAAAACAUCAGCUGAACCUCGUAAAUGGUCACUGCCACUGGAUCUGACAAAACAUGUCAAAGAUUCUGAGUUGCUGCCACUAAAUCUGACAAAACAUGUCACAAGUUCUGUCGUGGAUCAGUUUAGCUAGACUCUGCAACCAAGCUUUUGCAACAGUUUGAGCGGUUUAUGAUGGACUUUGGGAGGAGCUAUGCGUCGCUGGCGGAGAAAAUGAUGCGGUUCGAGAUUUUCAAAGAAAAUUUGAAAAUAAUUGAGGAUUUGAUGGCCAGUAAGAGAGGAAGUGCCAGGUUUGGUGUGGGCCCUUUUGCUGACAUGUCCGCUGCUGAGUUUCGUCGCAAGUACUUUAGGUGGGGAGGACUGGGCCCACAACCUCGUGAGCAUUCAGUCCAGAGGCGCGCACCCGGAAGGUUCGGUGCCGUCAACUCGAAAGACAACUCCGAUAGGAGGAGACGCAAAAAGAUAACAAUGGAAAAUAGAGAUCCGUUCAAACCCGACCCGACCCCCAUAAAAUUCUCCAACCCCGCUGAUAAGCCCCCCUUAACCGGCUCUAAACCUGCCAACCCUGCCGUUGCACCCCCUUCAAACGACCCGAACCCCGCAGCCAGCCUCGCCCUCGCAUCUUCUUCAACCGGCCAAAAACCCGCUACCUCUGCCGUAGCAUCUUCUUCGACCGGCCAAAAACCCGCUACCUCUGCCGUUGUACCUCCUUCAACCGGCCAAAAACCCGUUGCCCCCGUCUUCCUCAAAAUCAAAAAACCGGCCAAGUCGUAUCUGUCAUGCGUCAUCCUGUAA
rnacentral:lncRNA from 1 species